AUUGAACGCUGGCGGCAGGCCUAACACAUGCAAGUCGAACGAGUGGCGGACGGGUGAGUAAUGUCUGGGAAACUGCCAGAUGGAGGGGGAUAACUACUGGAAAGGGUAGCUAAUACCGCAUACCAGCGGAUGGGCCCAGAUGGGAUUAGCUCGUAGGUGGGGUAACGGCUCACCUAGGCGACGAUCCCUAGCUGGUCGGAGAGGAUGACCAGCCACACUGGAGCGGAGAAACGGUCCAGACUCCUACGGGAGGCAGCAGUGGGGAAUAUUGCACAAUGGGCGCAAGCCUGAUGCAGCCAGGCCGCGUGUAUGAAGAAGGCUUUCGGGUUGUAAAGUACUUUCAGCGAGGAGGCGUUACUCGCAGAAGAAGCACCGGCUAACUCCGUGCCAGCAGCCGCGGUAAUAC
rnacentral:rRNA from 1 species